rnacentral:tRNA from 1 species
ACUAGGAUCUGCUACACUAAGCAAUUGGACCCAUGCCCCAAAAACGAUACAAUAUAUCUCCUAGUA